rnacentral:rRNA from 1 species
GAUGAACGCUAGCGAUAGGCCUAACACAUGCAAGUCGAGGGGCAUCACAUGAAGUAGCAAUACGGAUGGUGGCGACCGGCGCACGGGUGAGUAACACGUAUGCAACCUGCCUUCAACAAGGGGAUAACCCGUUGAAAGACGGACUAAUACCCUAUAACACAGGGGUCCCGCAUGGGAAUAUUUGUUAAAGGACAACCGGUUGAAGAUGGGCAUGCGUUCCAUUAGCUAGUUGGCGGGGUAACGGCCCACCAAGGCAACGAUGGAUAGGGGAACUGAGAGGUUUAUCCCCCACACUGGUACUGAGACACGGACCAGACUCCUACGGGAGGCAGCAGUGAGGAAUAUUGGUCAAUGGACGCAAGUCUGAACCAGCCACGUCGCGUGAAGGAAGACGGCCCUACGGGUUGUAAACUUCUUUUAUACGGGAAUAAAGUGCCCCACGCGUGGGGUUUGCAUGUACCGUAUGAAUAAGGAUCGGCUAACUCCGUGCCAGCAGCCGCGGUAA